rnacentral:lncRNA from 10 species
GAUAAAAAUAGCAAAGAAUACACAAGUGGUAGGCAAAUUAAAAAAUGGGGUAACAAUACCUAUAUUUUCUGGUAAUAAAGUGGGUGUGGUGGCUUGCACCUGUAAUCCCAGCACUUUGGGAGACCGAGGUGGGUGGAUUGCUUGAGCUCAGGAGUUCAAGACCAACCUGGGCAACAUAGUGAGACCCUGUCUCCACAAAAAAUACAAAAAUUAGCUAGACAUGGUGGUGCAUGCCUGCGGUCCUAGCUACUUGGGAGGCUGAAGUAGCUAGGGGAGGUUGGCUUGAGCCGUGGAGUUGAAUUUUGCAGUGAGCUGACAUGGUGCCACUGCACACCAACUUAGGUGACAGAGCCAGAUCCUGUCUUUUAAAAAAAGGAAAAAAUUCAAAAAUGAAGAUAACAUAUUUAUAAAUGUUUAUGUGCCAUAGAAGAGAUCAUAGAAAUGAAUAAAACAAAUACAGUUUUGCAAUAUGCAGAUAUGACAGAAUAGGCAUCAUUACUAGUUUGAGGCUCUGAUAGAUUUCUCAGGCCUAGGUACUUAAGCAAUACUGAAACGAGAAACAGCUUGUAUAGACCAUUUAUGGUCCUGGAAUAAAUUGAAGAGGGAUGCCUGAGCCCAAAGAUACGAUUCUCACGUCGCAUUACCAUAUCAAUUUCUGAAUAUGUUGUUUUGAGUUUUGUGCUUACUUUACUUUUUUAUUUUCCUCUUCAGCUAAAAGUUUUGCCUAGAGCUCUUGAGCCUACUGAUAUCAUUUUGAUUGAUAUCAUUUUGAAAUGGAAGGAAAUGGCUUGAAAAGACACAGGAAAUACAAUAUGAACUGAACUCCCAAUGCAAAAGGGAAUCUCAAAGUUAUAAAGGAAACACAGAACUCACCAUGAAUUAAUCUUGACAUAUCCCUCCUCCUUAAAAGGACUAUAAUUUUUUAAAUGUCUUUUUAAUAAGACUACCCUUCAUAAAGAUAUAAAUAUUCGGCUGUGAUCUGAUUCUCCUUCACAUAAUCUUACGUGUUUGAGACCUGUGCAUGUUAACCUGAAUUUUCAGAAUUGACACAUUUUAUUUCUAUGAAUCAAUCCUUACGUAUGUAUUACUUUUCUCCAAUAGAAUAGAGUCCUUUUUCUCACUAAUAUUACCAACAUACUCUCCCUGACAUAUGCAUUUAAAUUAAAUUCAUGAUUAAUUGAAUUAAUUGAGUGGAGAGGGAAAGGAAAGAAAAAUAACUUUCAGACCACGUGUGGUGGCUCACGCCUGUAAUACCAGCACUUUAGGAGGCCGAGGCAGGUGGAUCACCUCAGUUCAGGAGUUCAAGACCAGCCUGAUGAACAUGAAGAAACCCCGUCUCUACUAAAAAUACAAAAUUAGCCGGGCAUGGUGGUUCAUGCCUGUAAUCCCAGCUACUUGGGAGGCUGAGGCAAGAGAAUCACUUGAACCCGAGAGGCAGAGGUUGCCAUGAGCUGAGAUCAUGCCACUGCACUCCAGCCUGGGAAACAAGAGCGAAACCCCAUCUCAAAAAAAAAAAAAAAAAAAAAUCCAUGAUUAUGUUGUGAGUUACCUAAGGGAAAAGAAGUGGGUCUCAUUCAUUUUAUGCAAUUCCCAGAGCCCAAUAGCUUGCUAAUUUGUUCUUAAUUUAAUUACAGUAAAAAUUGAGUUCUUGUUUUGUCUCAAUAAACUUGAUGGCAGGUAAAGUGAGCAAUCUGUUUUGGAUUAAAAAAUGAAUUAUUUGGCAUUUUCUCUAAUACAGGCUUUGGCUGAUACAUAUAAUAUCAAUUUUUUUGUUAUUGCCCAUACAAUAGGAACUCAAACCAUUUUACAAAUAAAUAAUCAACAGUAAGAAAUACUGAAAGGUCACAAAUGUUUUUGAUACCAAGAGAGUGUUUAUUGAGAUAUAGUUACUCUACCAGACGUAAUUCAUUGCAAAGUCCAGACCACACUCGGCAAUUGUAAGCUUAGAAGCCUGUUCCAAUGAAAUAGUGUGAGAUAUCUGGUCAUCUGACUGCACACCAAGCAUAGAAGUUGGAGGUUUUGUACGAUAUGCAUUUAAAUUUUUGCUUUUAAAAUAGUUGCUUGGUGGAAUGAACAAUGAGCUAUAUAAAUGUAGUGGUGG